GAGAUUUGGAAGUUCAUUUUACGAAGUAAUCUUUUGUUGAGUAAACUUUAAUUUAAAUACUUUUGAUUUUGACAGGAAGACUUGACCUUGAUUGACCCGAUGAAAUGUACAGAUACUUGUAAUCAUCAGAUUAUCUAGAUACAUCACAGAUUUUACGGCUCUUCGCCUCAACGAAUUUCACCUGUAAACCAAUUAGGACAAAAAAGGUAGGUUGUGCAAAUUACAGUUUGGUAUAAUUUACAAUUUUCCAGUUUAAAGAGGUGAAUUGAGGCAAGAAAAUAGCAAUUUACCACUUGUUUGGUAAUUGAAUGAAUUAAAUGAUAUAUGAUGUUGACUGAGGAUGUUGAGGAUGAUAUUUGUAUAAUGGUAGGUAUAUCAGUUGUGUUUUAGUGUAUGUAUUGCUAGAGGUAGGGGAAAUACUUAUGUCCUUUUUGUAAGUUUAUAUUGUCUAAAGUUAUAAGAGGUAUUUGUUCUACAAUUUUUACUAUAGAUUGGUGGUGUAUGGUCAUUAUGUACAUGACUGAUUGUUGUUUUGCUAAACAACCAGUGGCAAAUAUUUCAUGUAUAUUCUGGAAUAUAUACAAAGAAGUAUGUACUUCAAAUUUUCCUAAAUACACCUGAGGUAUUAAAAAUAGGAAUUUCAGCAAAUUUUGCAAAUCUGCCAAGUACAUGUAGUUUUUGAAAUUGUUGAACUGAUGUUUUCAGAUUUGGUGGAAUGUUGAAGCUUAAAAAUCUUUUCUAAAGAAUACAUAAAAGUCUUUUACAUUCUUUGGACUUUCAGGUCAUUUAUUAAAAAAUAACAGGAAAAUUUGAAAGGAAUUUCAGAAUUUUGUUUAAAAUUUUGGAUUAGGAUCAUAGGUGUAAGGUGUCAGAUUUUAAGGGUGAAAUAUAUUCAUUACAAUUUGUUCAGUGUCACUUGACAAAAUAGAAUUAUUCAGGCAUUGUCAAAAUCUAUUGUAUUUUAAAAAGUGAUAUACUAUCUGAGUUAUGAUCAUAAUAUUCUGUAGUAAAUUUCAAAAAGUUGUAUCUACCGAUCUGUUGCUGCUGUUGUUAUCAGUUUGUAAACAUAACCAGCUGCUGUGCCUGGUUUAACAUAUAAAACUGAUUUCUUUUUUUUUUAAAUUUCAGUUAAAACAUGAUAACAUGACAAAAAAUUUGCCUCAGUAUAGCUAGGAGAUAUUAGCUUGCAAUAAAAUUAAGAUUUGUAACUAUCUAUAUCAUCAAUGCAAAAAUGUAGGAUAAUUGUCCCCAGGGGCAGAUUCAAGUGGGGGCAUGGCAGGCGUGCACCCCCUAAAAUUUGCAAAGCAUGCAUGGGUUGUUCCCAGCUUAUUAAAAAAUAUUUCGAUAAUUUUGCCUCACUCUGCUUGGCGAAAAUUUAAGUUUGUACCCCCUUACCUAAAGUCUUUGAUCUGCCCCUGGUCCCCCCAUUCAUAGAGAGUCGAUUUGCUGAUCAUGAAUAGUGUAUGCAUCUACAGCCAGCUGGUUGACCUACAGCCAUUCAUUUCGGUGUAGCUGCUUCUUCUAGAGACUGACCAUAUGCUAUAAGGUGAAGGUCCUAUGUGUCAUGUUCUGAUUUUAGAUAAUAUUAAAGUAACUUGCUACAAUCACAUAUUGGAAGGAUUUAUAAAGGGUUGUACAAUGUAGUAGCAUUCAACAACAAAAACUUUUGACAUACCCGGUACAUUUUUCAUUUCUAUGAUUAGUAUUACCUGGUAAGUUUUUGUCUGAGGUCAAAACUCUCAACCUAUGUGACCUGAAAUGACAAACCUUAAUGUUAGGUUACAUUUGUGGAGUGUAGCAACAUCUCAAGUUUUGUAUUAAUAACAACAUCAAUAUAUUUUUGAAAUUGACAGUAAUGACCUUUCAAAGAGAUUGAGUCAACAAGCAUUUAAAACAGUUGCUUGACAGCAGAUAAAUAAUUUUGAUGAUUAUUAGGUCUCAGUAUGUGGAUGAAAAGGUCAAGAUCUAUUAUAAAUACCCAUGUUGUUGGGGUUAGUGUCAUUACAAGAUGAUGGGCCUGAUUUUAGAAAAGAUUUAAUACAAAAAUAAUCUAAUCUGAGACUAAAAGAUUGAUGUAUUAGUCCCAGCUUUUAUUUAGGUAUAAUGUUUUCAAGAUUUAAUUUUACGUUUUAAAUUUUAAAUUGGAGAAACAAUUGAUAAUGUUAAAUUUUAAUUUUUAAGGGGCUUUCCAGAUCGAUGGAGAGCUUCAAGCACAAAUAACCUCUAGUUUUUCUCUUUUCUCUUAAUCUUUUUACUUUAUAGAUCAUUUAGAUACUUUUAACCUUUCAUCUAAAAGAAAGUCACUGCCCGACAGGAAGCCCUUGUCUUUUAAUUUAAAGCAUAUAGAAAAAAUACAGGAUGUAUACCGUUUCUUACAUUCUUAAUGUAUUAAUGACAUAACCUUUUAUAUUUAUUUACAUAAGUUUGUUACCAAACUUUACAGUUAUGUUAAACAAGUACAUGUACCAAUUACAUAACAUAUUUUACCUUUACCUUGGCCUAAUGUUAAAUACCUGUACACUGGAGUGUUACAGGUGUAAUUGUCUUUUAGUAAAAAUCACUUUUUAACCUUAUUGUAGUGCCUGUCAUUCACACACACACCUUCGGGAACUUUAUAUUGUGUAAUAUUUCAAAGGUAUGUGCAAAUUUUAUGCUUAAGAUUUUCAAAAAUCACAAAAUUUAAGAUUAUAUUUUUUGUACCAUAUGCAUAAAUUUUAAUAUUUUCACUAAUAUUUUUUUUUGUUUAUUGAAACUUAUUUUUGCAUUAAACCUUUUCAAAUGUUUACACCACCGUGUAAUGGCACUAUCUUCAACAACAUGGGAAAUUUUAGUGCAUCUUAACCCUGUACAUGCAUAUGUUGUAUAAUUGCUUACAUCCACGUCAUUUCGGAUUCUAGUGGAUAGAGAUCUCAUUCUCGAGUCUCAUUGGUAAUCAAAUAACAUCUUAUUUUGAUAUGUUUAUACAUUCAUUGUUAUUUAUUUCAUUUCAUUGAAAGACACAUUUCUGGAGACACAUUUAGUCCUUAGAUUGAUGUUGUAAAUUUGUAAAUAGUUACAAAUGUACUAGAUUGGUUAACCAUGAAGACAAAUCAAUUGUAUAGGGAGGGGGUUGGAGAGAGUGUCAUCUUAAAUUCCCGGAUAAAUAAAUGCUGAAUCCUGUAUUCCCAAAGUAAAACAUUCUUUUACAGAUCUAGGAAAAAAUUAUCAAUUAAAUUCCCGUAAAAGUAAAGACACAAUUCUUACGUCCCAGAAGAGUACUUCUGUGUUCAGUACCUUGUAUAGGUUCAGUGGCAGAUCCAUGGGGGGGGGGGGGUGGGGCAGGAGUUGGAACCCCCUUUUUUUUUGGACCAUCAAUGCAUUUGAAUGGGGACAUGUGGUUGGAACCCCCCUUUAUCCUGGGUUAGGAUUCCCCCUUUUUAAAAUGGCUGGAUCCGCCCCCUGAGGGUUCAGGUUGAUUUAUAUUUGGAAACUGAUCAGUUUCCAUAAAGCUUAGACGAAAAAUCAUAUCAUAUAUAAUUGUUUUUAUAUAAGAUGAAUGAGAGUAUGAAAAUGUUCUACUCCUGUCUAAGGCUGUUAGAUAUUUAUUUGUUUCAUCCUAAAGGCUUUCAGACUUUUUUAAAUAAGUUGAGCUUAAUUGAUUGAUUAUUGGUGGUUAGGGCCACUUUCAGAACACUUUGGUAUUUAAAGGGAUAAAUGAUACUAUGAAUUAGAUGUGAUACGUUUUCAAAUGAGACAACUAUCAGAUAUAAAAAAAUAAGAAUGUGUAGUUCUACUACACAGCAUUGAAUAAACAACCAUCAACUUAACCAAGCUUAAUACAGGCCCUCAGUAUAAAAUGUUAAAUCCUGCAAAAGAAAUGACUAAGAAUUCAGACAUUGAUACAAAACAAAAAUCAAAUAAUCAUUUUACUAUAAUAUACAUUAAUGUACUUUCACUCAAUAAAGGUUAGUCAUCACGUCCUAGAGGCCUUUCUAGCCAUGUGAUCAUAGUAGUUGAACGUACUGUAUCAUAAGCCAAUGUCAGCACUGAGGUUUUGAGUUCCAAUCCAGCAAAUGGCAGGUAUGCUUGAUUCUGAUCUAAUUGACUACUAGGAUUUACAGUUUUCUUACAAAAGGUCUGUGGUUUUCACCUUAACUUCCUGCUUCUUCCUCCAAUAAAAACUGAUUGCUACUAAAAAAAAUCACAAUAGUUCUGGAAUGUGGCAUUAAACAUCAAUCAAUCAUUCCGUCAAUCAUCUGGCCCUAUUAAUUAUUUAACAUUCAUAGACUCUUCUCAAUAUACUUGUUUUAGAGGUUAAGCAAUUGAUGUCAGAGUCAAUCCUUUACAAUAAAGUUCAACAUGCUGACUUUGUUGGUACCAUACUUGUUAGUAAGUUGAAGUAUUCUAAGAAAUAAAAUGUUAGCGUAUUGAAACAAUAAACACAUAUUGGUAAAAUUAUUUAUGACAGUAUGUUAAAGAAGUCCUCAAUAGUUAUUUAUUCUAUUUUUGAAAAAAAACCUUGAAGACAAUUUGAAAGUCCUGUUUGAUAUGAAGUGCACAUGUACAAGUACAUGUUACAUGUGUAUUUGGUGUAUGGUUUAUAUGUCUUUAUAGUGUAUAAGGAAUGCUGUCUUUAUUGCAUUUUGUGGUUUCCAAAUUUGUGGAUUUAGAAAAGGAUUUCACUUUGUUUGAUUCUAUUUUGUGGUUUUGACAUAAGUUCUCCAAAAUCCAUGUAAUUUUAUAGUUCCCAAGGAAUAAUGAUAAAUCCCCAGUACAUAGAUCCCACAUAUCAUUUCCCUUAUUUCUACAAUAAAGUUGAUGAUGGAACUUUUUUGCACUAGUUUAACCUCUAUUGCUUCUGUUCAUUGAACUGAGAUUUUAGAUUGUUCUAGACUUGAUUGAAAACCAAUUAUUGAUGUAACCUGGCAGUUUGGUAAGAAUGUAGUUACAAUCAUUGUCAGUGUGUUAAUCAGAAUUAUUCAUCAGUUAAAGUUAUAUGUUACUAUAAUUUACUUCUGUCUACCAAAAUAACUUUACCAAAAAUCUCUGGUAUUUAGUGGAAUUUUGUUGUGGUAAAGUAAUAAAAAAGAUACAGUAAAGAAUUGUGAAGUAAUUUAGUUUUCUAUAUGUUUUGUUAUGUAUUUUAAAAAUCUGUGAUUUAACAUUGUGAUUGAAAAAAUGAGAAUAACAAUUAUGCAUCAAUUGAAAAAAAAUGUGUACAAUCGAACUUUUCAGUUAAAAAUCAUACCACAUCUUCUUAUAUCUAUUGAAUGAAUUUGACCCUUGACUUUAACUUCAACUUGUACAUACUCUUGUGAUAAUUCUAAAAAUUUUCUUUUUGUAUUCCAGAUAUAUAUUAAUGGUCCUUUAGACUCCUGAAACCUGGGGCUCUUAGCCAAACACUAAAUUCAAGUCACAGCAACAACUUACAGUCCACUCGGAGCUGGAGACAUAACCAGCAGAAUUUAUAGGUUAGAAUGCUAUU
rnacentral:lncRNA from 1 species